UGGGGAAUUUUGGACAAUGGGCGCAAGCCUGAUCCAGCCAUGCCGCGUGCGGGAAGAAGGCCUUCGGGUUGUAAACCGCUUUUGUCAGGGAAGAAAUCUUCUGAGUUAAUACCUCGGGAGGAUGACGGUACCUGAAGAAUAAGCACCGGCUAACUACGUGCCAGCAGCCGCGGUAAAUACGUAGGGUGCAAGCGUUAAUCGGAAUUACUGGGCGUAAAGCGUGCGCAGGCGGUUUUGUAAGACAGAGGUGAAAUCCCCGGGCUCAACCUGGGAACUGCCUUUGUGACUGCAAGGCUUGAGUGCGGCAGAGGGGGAUGGAAUUCCGCGUGUAGCAGUGAAAAUGCGUAGAUAUGCGGAGGAACACCGAUGGCGAAGGCAAUCCCCUGGGCCUGCACUGACGCUCAUGCACGAAAGCGUGGGGAAACAAACAGGAUUAGAUACCCUGGUAGUCCACGCCCUAAACGAUGUCAACUGGUUGUUGGG
rnacentral:rRNA from 1 species